AAAGUUAUUAAUCUAGGCUUUUAAACAGUAGAACUAAUUUAAUUUUCUUAGCUAGAAAACACUUACUUAAGAUAGUAAAUUCAUUUUAAAUCUUCUUAGACCGAUAAAAAUAGUACCGUAAGGGAAAGAUGAAAUAAUUUUAACAAACUAAACUUAAUAAAGGAAAAAUUAUUUAUUUUACCUUGUGUAUAAUGGAUUAACGAGCACUACAGAAAAGUUAUUCUAACCCCGAAACUGGACGAGCUAAUCUUCUCUUCUUUAUAGAAGAAUAAAACCACUGUUGCAAUAGUGGAGGAAAAGGGAAGAUUAGGUGUGAAAUGCUAACCGCGCCCAGAGAUAGCUGGUUCCCCAAAAAAUUAGUUUGAGCUAAGCCUUUAAUAUAAAAAUAAAACCGCUUUAUGCUAUAAAAAUUAACUUUAAUUUUUUUAGAAAAGGUCAGGGCCCUAAGGAUAAGCCUAGGGCCCAAAAUGGAAAAUUCCAACUCUAAUAGCAAAAGACAAUAAGCUUCCUAAAUAGUCCCAGUAAAAGGAGUAGGCUUAGAAGCAGCCACCUAAAGAGAAAGCGUUAAAGCUUAAUUACUAUAACCGACUAGAAAAUUUUUGGAGAAGCCUCUGAAGCUAUAGGAAUUUAUUGGGGCCUUCUGUUUUCAGAAGGGACAAUGUUAAUAUGAGUAAGAAAAACUUCACCUGUGUUUUAUACCUUUCUAACCAUGGAAAUAAAAACAUUGAUACUAAAAAGCCUGUUUUAACAACCGUCUUCCAACUCAGGAGAAGAAUAAUAUAAUAAAAUGAAGAAAAGGAACUCGGCAACUAUUGGUUUCGCCUGUUUACCAAAAACAUCGCUCCCCGAAAUUAAAAACAUGAGGAGUCCUGCCUGCCCAGUGACUAGAGGUUAAACGGCCGCGGUAUCUUGACCGUGCGAAGGUAGCAUAAUCAUUUGUCUCCUAAUUAGAGACUAGUAUGAAUGGCAAGACGGAACUAAACUGUCUCUUUUUCACAACCCCGAAUUUCACUUCCUUGUGAAGAGGCAAGGAUAAAAUCGUUAGACGAGAAGACCCUGUCGAGCUUAUAGCAAAAGUUUAGCCUCUACCAUAUUUAAGCUGCCCUAAUUUUUGAUGAUAGGCAAAAUAAAUUUUGGGGGACUAACCAAAGCUUUGGUUGGGGCAACCGCGGAGCAGGAAAAACCUCCGCUAAUACAAUAAACAAUUAAAGUAAGAACAACAAUUCUAAAAUCAAAAAUGAAAGAGUGAUCCACUUAGGUGACCAAAGGAACAAGUUACCGCAGGGAUAACAGCGUUAUCUUUUCUGAGAGUUCACAUUGACGAAAAGGUUUGCGACCUCGAUGUUGGAUCGGGACAUCCUAAGGGUGCAGAAGCUUUUAAGGGUUGGUCUGUUCGACCAUUAAAGUCCUACGUGAUCUGAGUUCAGACCGGCGAAAGCCAGGUCAGUUUCUAUCUACGUAAUUAUCUUCCUUAGUACGAAAGGACCAGGAAGAAAGUGUUCAUGCAGUAAUGUAAACACUUCAAUAAAA
rnacentral:rRNA from 1 species